GGAGAGCAGGGCCUCCGCCUGGCCUAAGAGCUCCAAAGCCAUUGCAGGGUAGAGGAGAAAAUGAAGCCAUCCCUUAACUGUGAGGGGUGCAGGACCUCUAAGACCAAGCAUGGGCUGACACAGCCUGGACACUUAGGUUAUCGUGAAGCUCCCAGAUCACUGUGGCCUCUGGGCAGAUUUAGAAGUUUUUAAAGAGCAUUGAACCUGUGAUCACAAGAUGGCUGCCAAGGGGUUAGAAUGAUGGAAAAUGGAAGCUCCCUGGAAAAUGUCCCACAGCCUUACAGACAUCUCUGAUGUCAACUGCACAAUGAUGUGAAUUAUUGUUUUCGCUAUCCUGUUUCUUUUGGGAAAUUUGACGCACUGUCCCUCCAUCUCAUCAUCAAUGUCAUUAAAACAAACGUUGAGGAGUACUGUGCCCAUGACCUUGUGACGUCCCAUGGAAUACAUCCUUCCAUCUCAUUCUGGCAUCAAAACCAUUGGAAAGCAUUGGAGAACUGCUCCUGUCUGUGCUCCUGCUCUCUGAAGAUGCCGGUCACAGAUGCU